rnacentral:rRNA from 1 species
CCCUUAGAUGUUCUGGGCCGCACACGCGCUACACUGAAGGAGGCAGCGUGUACUCCUGGAUCGAAAGAUUUGGGUAACCCGCGAAUCUCCUUCGUGCUAGGGAUUGAGGUUUGCAAUUAUCCUUCAUGAACGAGGAAUUCCCAGUAAGUGCAAGUCAUAAGCUUGCGCUGACUACGUCCCUGCCCUUUGUACACACCGCCCGUCGCUACUACCGAUUUAAUGAUUUAGUGAGGACUUCGGACUGGGACCGAUGCGGCUUUCGGGCUGCGUCGGUAUUCUGGAAAGAUGUCCAAACUGUAUCAUUUAGAGGAAGUAAAAGUCGUAACA